GCCAGGGAUAGCUCAGUUUGUAGAGCAUGAGGCUCUAAGUCUCAGGGUCAUGGGUUUGAGUCACACGCUGGGCA